UGAGCGUCGUGGUGCGCGAUUCGGCCUGUCACGCCGGAGGUCGCGGGUUCGAGUCCCGUCGCUCCC
rnacentral:tRNA from 1 species